AGGCCUAUAGCUCAGUUGGUUAGAGCGCACGCCUGAUUAAGCGUUGAGGUCGGCUGUUCGAGUCAGCCUAGGCCCACCA
rnacentral:tRNA from 1 species